AACUUUCAGCAACGGAUCUCUUGGCUCUCGCAUCGAUGAAGAAAGCAGCGAAAUGCGAUAAGUAAUGUGAAUUGCAGAUUUCAGUGAAUCAUCGAAUCUUUGAACGCACCUUGCACCCUGCGGUAUUCCACAGGGUAUGCCCGUUUGAGCAUCAUUAAAUUAUCAACUCCAAGACCUUUGUGUUCUUGGUGCUUGGUCUUGAGGGUUAUUGUGGGCUCUUUACGAGUCGACUCCCUUUAAAUCCAUUAGCGAGACUUCCCUGUGCUGGAACUUGUGUCUUGACGUGAUAGUCUAUCUGCGUCAAAUCUUUACAGUUCUCAUUGGGCUUGCUUCUAAUCGUCCCGUUUGGACAAUCGGAAUCGAGUGCAUGAAUGCACCCUUUUCCAAACCUAUUUUGAUCUCAAAUCGGGUAGGACUACCCGCUGAACUUAAGCAUAUCAAUAAGCGGAGGCU
rnacentral:misc_RNA from 1 species